rnacentral:rRNA from 1 species
CCUACGGGAGGCAGCAGUGGGGAAUAUUGCGCAAUGGGCGAAAGCCUGACGCAGCGACGCCGCGUGAGGGAUGAAGGUCUUCGGAUCGUAAACCUCUGUCAGCAGGGAAGAACGGUCACUGUGCUAAUCAGCAGUGAAUUGACGGUACCUGCAAAGGAAGCACCGGAUAACUCCGGGCCAGCAGCCGCGGUAAUACGGGGGGUGCGAGCGUUAAUCGGAAUUACUGGGCGUAAAGCGCUCGUAGGCUGUGAGGUAAGUCAGCGGUGAAAUGCCCCCGGUCAACGGGGUGAAGGGCCAUUGAUACUGCCUUGCUGGAAUGCGGAUGCCGUGGGAGGAAUGUGUGGUGUAGCGGUGAAAUGCAUAGAUAUCACACAGAACACCGAUUGCGAAGGCAUCUCACGAAUCCGCGAUUGACGCUGAUGCACGAAAGCGUGGGUAUCAAACAGGAUUAGAUACCCUAGUAGUC